rnacentral:tRNA from 1 species
GCGUAGCUCAGUUGGUAGAGCGUUGGUCUCCAAAACCAAAGGCCGCGGGUUCGAUCCCUGCCGCU